GCCCUUGAGGCUCAUGCCAUGAGAGCCGGGAUGCCCAUUCUUCAGGGAGUCUACACCCCUGAGUGCCCUGGACUCAGAGUGGUCUGAGGGGAUGUGUUGGUGGGCUUUUAGGGGGUUGGGUUGCAAAACCCCAAGAUUCAUGAAACUUAGCUUAUAGGUGCCAUGUCAGCAGUCUCUGGCCUUAACCCUGCCACUUCACCUCCUUGGGCUUUAGUUCCUCAUCUGUAAAAUGAGAAUCAAGCUACCUGUCCAAAGGACUGGACGAUUUCUGAAAUCCCUUUAUUGCAGAAUCUAAUGUGACAGUGAGUUUAUCUUUGAGGAUAGAUGAAGUGAUCUGAAGUAGAUAUUCAAAGUGUGGGUUUGGGCAUUAGUCAAUUGUGGCUUUAAAUCCUGACUGCUACUCCCUAGUUUAGCAGGCUUGGGAUUAUUACUUUUCUGAGCUUCAGUUUCCUUAUCUAUAACGUGUGGUUUAGAACAAAGGUACCUACUUUAUGGGGUUGCUAUGGGUAUAAAUAACCUUGUACCAUAAAGUGCUGAGGAAGUGCUCAGUAGAGGGGAAGUUUGGGUUUUUUGUUCGUUUUCAAUUCAAGGAAAAUGCUUUGAGCGGACAAAGUUCACAUUAGAGGUGAGUUGUGGUGGGGGAAGGGAAGUGUGUUUCUAUUUUGCUGUGUAACGGAAAGAGCAUAGGUUUUGGAUUCUGCAGUCUUGAGUUUGUGUCUAGGCUGCACAAUUUCUUGUGUGACCCUGGGCAAGCUCCUUUACCCCUCUCUGCUUUCUUUGUGAGAAAGGAAGUUGAUGUGAAGCCAGUGUUUGGGGCCUGUAAAUAUUCAAUGCAGUGGGAGAAUAAAUCUAUCAUCAACCAUCGUUUAGAACAUUCUGUGCGACAGGCACUGUUCUAAUUGCUAGGGAUAUAGUGGUGAACGGUUGCAAAACUCACAGCCACCCUCCGAAAUAGGCUUUAUUAAUAGGCCCACCUUAGGGAUAAGGAAACAGGCUCAGAGAAGCCCCAGGUAUCCUGCUUAUGACAAAACCAGACAAAGCCAGAAACAGAAACCACAGUAAUGAUACUAGCUGACUUCCGCUGAGUGCACAGUGCAUGCCAGGCACUGUACCGGAGAGGAUUCCAUCCUGUAAUUCUCAUAACCACCGGUGUGGCAGGAACAUCAGCCCGCUGGUGCCGUGAGGAAACGGAAAGCCUGCGGCUCCUUAGAGGGGUCCUGGGCUCAGUCCAGAGCAUCUUGCUGCUUUUUGUGGACUCCCCCUCGAAUCUAAAGGGAAUACAAUAGAGCGGGAGUGGCUCCAAUAGGGCUCUGGGGACCGUCUCUUCCCUCUCCCCCAUCCCAAGUACGGCGACAAAGCCUUGCGCUGUGCCACCAUGCGGCAGAAGGCGGUAUCGCUCGUCUUGUGCUACCUGCUACUCAACACCUGCGGCUGCGAGGAGACAGAAGAAAGUGAGUCCGGGUUCUGGGGCACGCUGACCUACAUGGCCGUCGGAGGAGGGCUCAUGGCCGUGGCGCUGCCCGGGCUGGGCUUCACGAGCACAGGCAUCGCCGCCAACUCGGUGGCUGCCUCGCUGAUGAGCUGGUCGGCCGUGGCGAACGGGGGCGGAGUGCCCGCCGGGGGGCUGGUGGCCACGCUGCAGAGCCUGGCCCUUUCUUUUUUUUUUUUUCCUCUCCCCCUCUGAGGCAUCCAAAAUCCUACAGAAAAACCACCCCUGACAAACUGCCCCUCUGCCUUUCUGAACCCUCCAUCUUCCCUCAAUUCUGGAUGGCAAAAGCCCGAAGAACCAGCCCAAAAGGACACAGCCCUUCUCAGAGGGGGCAGAGAGGAAGACACAGACCAGGCUGCACCCCUGGUCUGCAGUGAGAGGGGCUAACGGUGGCAGUGCCCUCAUGGCCAAGGUUGGGGCCCUUCUGGGCUAUACUGUCCACAAGCAAAUGGAAAGCAGAGGGAAGGAGAGAGCGGA